ACCGCGAUAGCUCAGUUGGUAGAGCAUCUGCUCGGUAAGCGGUGUGUCACCGGUUCGAUUCCGCUUCGCGGCG
rnacentral:tRNA from 1 species